AAAAAAUAUACAGAAAAGUUGAAGGAGUUUUGCAGUGUGCACCCACAUAUUCACCACCUAAGACUGUGCCGCUGGCAUUAUCCCACGUGCUUUAUCACAGCUCUCUCCACCUUUUCCUGCCUCUAUUCGUCCAUCAGUCCCUCACAUUUUUUUUGCCAUGUUACCAAGAAGACCUCUGGACACUUGCUUCUCAACACUGCGGCGUGCAGGCCCUCAGCAGGAGUUCAGAAGUGCACAUUUCACGAUGUGAAUGAACUGAAGGAGUGUCUUUCUGUGCUGGUUAAAGAGCAGCAGGCCCUGGCCGUCCAGUCCGCCGCCACCACCCUCUCAGCCCCGAGACUCCAGCACAGGCUGCUGAUCUUGGAGCGCUAUUUCGUUGCCUUGACUAGAACCGUUUUUCAGGAGAAUGUCAAAGUUAAGUGGAAAAGCAGCAGCAUUUCUCUGCCUCCUGUGGACAAAAAAAGAGAUGCUUCUGGGCCAGGCACGGUGGCUCACACCUGUAAUCCCAGCACUUUGGGAGGCCAAGGUGGGCAGAUCACGUGAGGUCAGGAGUUCGAGAUCUGACCAACAUGGAGAAACCUCGUGUCUACUAAAAGUUUAAAGAUUAGCUGGGACGUGGUGGCGCAUGCCUGUAAUCCCAGCGACUCAGGAGGGUGAGGCAGGAGAAUGGCAUGAACCCAGGAGGCAGGGGUUGCGGUGAGUAGAGGUUGCGCCAAUGGACUCCAGCCUGGGCAACAAGAAUGGAACCCCAUCUCAAAAAGAGAAAAAAAAAAAGAUGCUGUUGGGCAUAUGAGUUUUAAUGUGUUGAUGCCUGUUAAUAUAUCACAGAUUUCCUCUAUUUGCUAACUGCCACUAGAAUGUUUAAGGCUUAUGUAAAAUUGUACUUUUCCAAAAUGAAGCUGUCUAUCAGACUUUUGUCCUCAGAAGGUUAAACUGCAAGGUUGCCAGAUGAAACUGUAUUUUGUGUAGUUAGGAGUGCUGGCUUUAUUUGACUGUGAUAGUGACUUUGACUCCCUGGAGAGCACAUGGAAAGUACAGGAGGCAGAAACCAGGGCAAAACCCUGAGCGUCUUGCUCCCCAGAGACAGGAGCGAUCCUUGUAGCCUGUUUCCUUGUUUUCUUAUGUUUUAAUUUUUGUGUUUGGUUGUUUUUUUUAUUUCCUUCAGUUUAAAUACAGUUGAAAUCACAUUACAGUUGGCUCUCUGUAUCUGUGGGUUUCACAUCCACAGAUUCAACCAACUGUGGAUCAAAAAUACUGGAAGAAAAGCCAUAAAAAACAACAAUAAAAAGAACGAAUAAAAAACAAUACAAUGUAACAACUAGUUACAGAGCAUGUACCUUGUUUUGGGUGCUAUGGUAAUUCAGAGAUGAUUUUGUUUGUUUGUUUUGACAUGGGGAUCUCACUGUUGCCCAGGGCAGCGGGGUUAUCAUGGCUCACUGCAGCCUUGACCUCCUGGGCUCAAAUGAUUCUCCCACCUCAGCCUCCCAAGUAGCUGGGACUGCAGGCGUGUGCCACAUUGCCCAGCUGAUUUCUGUAUUUUUUGUAGAGCCGGGGUCUUACUCUCUUGCUCAGGCUGGCCCCUAACUCUUGGCCUCAAGUAUUCUGCCUGCCUUGGCCUCCCAAAGUGCUGGGAUAACAAGCAUGAGCCACCACACCUGGCCAAUUUUUUUUUUUUUAAUUUGUGUAGAUGGGGUUUUGCCAUGUUGCCCGGGCUGGUCUUGAACUCCUGGGCUCAAGCGACCCUCCCGCCUCAACCUCCCAAAGUGUUGGGAGUAUAGGUGUGAGCCACUGUGCCUGGCUGAGAUGAUUUAAAUGACACGGGAGGAUGUGCACAGGUUAUAUGCAAAUACCACACCAUUUUAUAUCGGGGUCUUGAGCAUCCUAGGGUCUGGUGUGGAGCCAGGGUGGGGCAGGCCUGGUCCCAAUCCCCUGCAGAUACCAAGGGACGACUGUGCAUGUUGUAUUUUUGAAAACAGUUUGAGAGUAAAUUAAACCAAGUGACAGAUGAGAUUUCUACCCAUUUGGUAAUAGUAGUGCCGUGGUUCUUUCCCUCCUUCCUGACCGGCUGUGAUGGUCAUGAAUCAGAGUGUCAUGUAUGGGUGGGCGGUAGGUGCUCAGAUUCUCCAAGCAGUGUUGUGUGUUUGUCAAAUCAAACUGAGUUCCCUCAGCUGCAGAAACGGCUGAGAGCCCAGCUGGUUUUUCUCUGUGCUGUUUCCUUUGUGAUGACAUAGUGUUGAUGGAUUUAUUGGAAUAUAUCUUUCAUUAAUUGGAAGAAUUCCUAAAAUUAAAAAAAUAAAAGCCUUUUUUUGAGAUAAUUGUGGAUUCACAUACAGUUGUAAGAAAUAGUAUCGAGGUUCCUUUUACUGUUCGCCCCAUUGCCCUCAAUGGUAGCCAGUUGCAAACUACGGCACAGUCACCACAACUAGGGUGUUAACGCUGACAGUCUGCCUGCCUUCUUCAGGUCUUCCCAGUUUUACAUGCUCUCAAUGGUGUGUGUAUUUCUUGGCAAAUUUUUCACGUGUGGAUUUCCUGAGACCACCGCUGCAAUCAGGGUACAUGGACAAGGGUCCUUAAUACCCACAUUCACGUCUUCUCUCCCCACCCUAACUGCUGGCAACCACUCAUCUGUUCUCUGUGUCUAUUAUGUGAUUUUUUGACAUUGGUUUUUAAAUUUUUUAUUGUUAUUAUUGUAAUUUUUGGAGACAGGGUCUCACCCUGAUGCCCAAGCUGGAGUGCAGUGAUAUAAUCAUAGCUCACUGCAGCCUCAAACUCCUGGGCUCAAGCAGUCCUCUCAUUUCAGCUUCCUGAGUAGCUGGGACCACAGAUGCACGACAACACUCCCAGCUAAUUUUGUACUUGUAGAGACCCCGGUCUUGUUAUUGUUCCCAGGCUUGUCUUGAACUCCUGGCCUCAAGCAAGAUUGAGUUUUUUCACUCAGCAUAAUCCCCUUGACAUUUUCCCAAGGGGGUCAUUGCAUGUAUCAUUAUUGCUGAGUAGUAGUUUUUUGUUUUUGUGUUUUUUGUUUUUGGAGACAGAGUCUCGCUUUGUCGCCCAGGCCAGGCUGGAGUGCAGUGGCGCAAUCUUGGCUCACUGCAGCCUCCACCUCCCAGGUUCAAGCAAUUCUCCCUCAGCCUCCCAAGUAGCUGGGACCACAGGCAUGCACCACCAUGCCUGGCUAAUUUUUGUAUUUUUAGUAGAGAUGGGGUUUUGCCAUUUUGGCCAAGCUGGUCUCAAACUCCUGACCCGAAGUGACUCUCCCACCUCCUCUGACCACACUUGACCCAUGUGCUUUCUCUUGGAAGGACUGUGUGUCCUGUUACAUGUCUGUGUCUUGUCACGUUCAUAUUUCUCAUUUCGGAGCAAAGAUUUCUGUCUUCCAGGUACCCAGUGCCCUUCUCAGAGGUUCUUGCGUUUCUUGUCUGAGCUCCUGGUGCGUUAUUCAGGCACUUGUGAGUAAGUGUGUACGGUUGCCCCUGGCCAGCCAUGUUCUUCUUUGCCAUUUUCAUUACACAUUGUUUCUUGGGGGAGAUCC
rnacentral:lncRNA from 10 species